rnacentral:lncRNA from 1 species
CUAGUGGUGGUCGUGCUGCUCAGGUGAGCAGACAGAGGGGGACAGCCCAGGGCACAACUUUGCGGCUUACCUGGUGCCCUCUGGAGCGCAGCUGAACAAGAUUAAACCCUGACACCACCUCAUCUCCUCCUGAAGUUCCAGCAGAAGUCAGCUCUUCUCUCCCAAGCCGUGGUGUGCAUACAGUAUUCUCAUGUGAUAUUUUUGUUUUCAGUGAGAAGAUUAAACGCUGUCCUGGAAAAUAACUUGAUUGUAGUAAAG